GUGGGGAAUUGUUCACAAUGGGCGCAAGCCUGAUGACGCAACGCCGCGUGGGGGAUGAAGGUCUUCGGAUUGUAAACCCCUGUCGAAUGGGACGAAAGACUCGCGAGUUAAUACUUCGCGAGAGUGACGGUACCGUUAAAGGAAGCCACGGCUAACUCUGUGCCAGCAGCCGCGGUAAUACAGAGGUGGCAAGCGUUGUUCGGAAUUACUGGGCGUAAAGGGCGCGUAGGUGGCCUACUAAGUCAGACGUGAAACCCCCAGGCUUAACUUGGGAACUGCGUCUGAUACUGGAAGGCUUGAGUUCGGGAGAGGGAUGUGGAAUUCCAGGUGUAGCGGUGAAAUGCGUAGAUAUCUGGAGGAACACCGGUGGCGAAGGCGGCAUCCUGGACCGAAACUGACACUGAGGCGCGAAAGCUAGGGGAGCAAA
rnacentral:rRNA from 1 species